rnacentral:rRNA from 1 species
GACGAACGCUGGCGGCGUGCUUAACACAUGCAAGUCGAACGGAAAGGCCCUGCUUUUGUGGGGUGCUCGAGUGGCGAACGGGUGAGUAACACGUGAGUAACCUGCCCUUGACUUUGGGAUAACUUCAGGAAACUGGGGCUAAUACCGGAUAGGAGCUCCUGCUGCAUGGUGGGGGUUGGAAAGUUUCGGCGGUUGGGGAUGGACUCGCGGCUUAUCAGCUUGUUGGUGGGGUAGUGGCUUACCAAGGCUUUGACGGGUAGCCGGCCUGAGAGGGUGACCGGCCACAUUGGGACUGAGAUACGGCCCAGACGCCUACGGUAGGCAGCAGUGGGGAAUAUUGCACAAUGGGCGGAAGCCUGAUGCAGCAACGCCGCGUUCGGGAUGACGGCCUUCGGGUUGUAAACCGCUUUCGCCUGUGACGAAGCGUGAGUGACGGUAAUGGGUAAAGAAGCACCGGCUAACUACGUG